UUUGUGUCAGGCUCUGGAUUAGAGGCUGUAGGUCCCAAGUGAGCACAAAUGGGUGUGGUCCCUGCUUUCACGGACCUUACAGUCUAGGUGGAGAGACAAUGUUAAACAGAUGGUCACGGGGUUGCUUUGUGGAAGGAAGCCAAAUUCUGUGAGUAGAUGACAACACCUGCUCUGACGAGGGAGGCAGGCACAGCGUCCCUCGGGAGGUGACAUCCAAGCUGAAAUCUGCAGGAUGAGUGGGAGUUGAUCACUGAGGGGGGCGAGGGGGAGGGCAGUGCAGGCAGCAGGAGCAAGGGCCCUGUGGCAAGAGGGAGUGCAGUGCAUGUGAGGCAACAGACCAGCCUGGUGUGGCUGCAACUCUUGGUGCCCCAGAGGUGGGGAGUAUGUGUUUAUUUUAGACCUAGGGGAAGGGAGAGAAUGUUGGUCUUCAGCUUAAGAGCAAUCAGAAACCAUUCAAGGAUUUUGAGCAGAUUGGGGUUCUGCAGUAUGGAGAAUUUGGAGGCCACCAGCUGGGACCCUUCUGAGACCUCACUGUUGGUGCCUGUAGCUUCUUGUGUCCCAGAGUUGUUGUUCUGAGCACUCCUACACCCCAGCCUCCCAUGGGCUCAUCCCCGCAGAGCCCCCUCGUAGGCUCCCUGGAGUGCUUGCCCUGGUUGUGGUCUCUUCCAGAAGAUGCAGCCUUUGUUCUUUCUUCCCCGUCUUCAAUGGCCAUAUCCUCUCAGACAUUCUCCCUGCCCCUGUUCAGGCUCAGUAUGGUUUGGUGGCCCAGAACUUUUGAGUGCGCACUUUGUUGGCUGAUCACAGGUUUUGGUCUGGCUGUUGACUUGAUUACACUGGGCUGGGGGUGCCGCCUCCUUCCAGCUGGGCCUGCCCUGGAAUCUUUGCCUAGUAGAGAUGAGUGGGCCUGAUCCUGUGGGCUGUAGAAGUGGUACAGGGGCCCUGGUG
rnacentral:lncRNA from 10 species